UGGGGUGUGGCUCAGUGGUAGAGUGCUCACCUGGCAUGCAGGAGGCACUGGGUUCGAUCCUCAGCACCACGU
rfam:Ictidomys tridecemlineatus contig093883, whole genome shotgun sequence.